GAUGAACGCUGGCGGCGUGCUUAACACAUGCAAGUCGAACGGUGAAGGCGGAGCUUGCUCUGCUGGAUCAGUGGCGAACGGGUGAGUAACACGUGAGCAAUCUGCCCCUGACUCUGGGAUAAGCGCUGGAAACGGCGUCUAAUACUGGAUACGAGCUGCGAAGGCAUCUUCAGCAGCUGGAAAGAAUUUCGGUCAGGGAUGAGCUCGCGGCCUAUCAGCUUGUUGGUGAGGUAAUGGCUCACCAAGGCGUCGACGGGUAGCCGGCCUGAGAGGGUGACCGGCCACACUGGGACGAGGACAGGGCCCAGACUCCUAGGGAAGGCAGCGGUGGGAAAGAUUGCACAAGGGCGAAAGCCUGAUGUAGCAACGCCGCGUGAGGGACGACGGCCUUCGGGUUGUAAACCUCUUUUAGCAGGGAAGAAGCGAAAGUGACGGUACCUGCAGAAAAAGCGCCGGCUAACUACGUG
rnacentral:rRNA from 1 species